rnacentral:rRNA from 1 species
GACGAACGCUGGCGGCGUGCCUAAUACAUGCAAGUAGAACGCUGAAGCUUGGUGCUUGCACCGAGCGGAUGAGUUGCGAACGGGUGAGUAACGCGUAGGUAACCUGCCUGGUAGCGGGGGAUAACUAUUGGAAACGAUAGCUAAUACCGCAUAAGAGUAGAUGUUGCAUGACAUUUGCUUAAAAGGUGCAAUUGCAUCACUACCAGAUGGACCUGCGUUGUAUUAGCUAGUUGGCGAGGUAACGGCUCACCAAGGCAACGAUACAUAGCCGACCUGAGAGGGUGAUCGGCCACACUGGGACUGAGACACGGCCCAGACUCCUACGGGAGGCAGCAGUAGGGAAUCUUCGGCAAUGGACGGAAGUCUGACCGAGCAACGCCGCGUGAGUGAAGAAGGUUUUCGGAUCGUAAAGCUCUGUUGUAAGAGAAGAACGAGUGUGAGAGUGGAAAGUUCACACUGUGACGGUAUCUUACCAGAAAGGGACGGCUAACUACGUG